GAUGAACGCUGGCGGUAUGCUUAACACAUGCAAGUCAAACGGGNUCAGCUCUUUCGGGAGUUUGAGUUAGUGGCGGACGGGUGAGUAACGCGUAAGAAUCUACCUUUAGGAGGGGGACAACAGUUGGAAACGACUGCUAAUUCCCCAUAUGCUGAGGAGUGAAAUGGUGAAUAACCGCCUAAAGAUGAGCUUGCGUCUGAUUAGCUAGUUGGUAAGGUAAUGGCUUACCAAGGCGAUGAUCAGUAGCUGGUCUGAGAGGAUGAUCAGCCACACUGGGACUGAGACACGGCCCAGACUCCUACGGGAGGCAGCAGUGAGGAAUUUUCCGCAAUGGGCGAAAGCCUGACGGAGCAAUACCGCGUGGAGGAUGACGGCCUGCGGGUCUUAAACUCCUUUUCUUAGAGAAGAAAUUCUGACGGUAUCUAAGGAAUAAGCAUCGGCUAACUCCGUG
rnacentral:rRNA from 1 species